rnacentral:tRNA from 1 species
AAGACUUUAAGUUAACAAAACUUUAUGCCUUCAAAGCAUAAUAUAUCUAACCAGAUAAGUCUUA